rnacentral:tRNA from 1 species
AAUUAAUGAGCUUAUCUAAGCAUUUGUUUUGAAAACUUAAGAAAGAAUAUAAUCAUUCUAUUAAUUU